rnacentral:lncRNA from 1 species
GCUGCUGCUCAUCAUGGCGCCGCAGAAAGACAAGAAGCCUAAGAAGUCAACCUGGAGGUUUCAUUUGGACCUUACUCAUCCAGUAGAAGAUGGAAUUUUUGAUUCUGGAAAUUUUGUAAGUAUCUUACUGUAAUUGUAUAGAUCUUGGCAUUUAAAUAUAGUACUCGGUAUUAACCUAAGCUGUGCUCCUAGGGUACCUUCCCUAGUGACUAGGGUUUUCUUCCCUAGUUUUGCAUUUUUUCUGUUUGAAAACAGGAACAGUUUCUACGGGAGAAGGUUAAAGUCAAUGGAAAAACUGGAAAUCUUGGAAAUGUUGUUCACAUUGAACGCCUGAAGAAUAAAAUCACAGUUGUUUCUGAGAAACAGUUCUCAAAAAGGUCAGUUCUGUUUUAAGUUAUGAUGGAGUAUGUUGCAGGCAUUCUGCUAAAAUUAUUAUAUUAAUCUGUUUAAAAAGUCAGAUGACUCUCGCUGCUUAGUUUCAAACAUAAGGAAUAUUGGUGUAUUUUAGGUAGAGAGACAGCAGAUUCAUGGUGUCCUGGUCACUUCUUGAAAUCAGUCUAGUGAAUUGGAGUUGCAAGACAGAUGUGACAGUGCAUGUCUUGGUGGGAUUGCUUGUAUAUACAUCUAAUAAAAUCUUGGUUUUGUCUCAAAGGUAUUUGAAAUAUCUUACCAAGAAAUACCUUAAGAAGAAUAAUCUCCGUGAUUGGCUUCGUGUGGUCGCAUCUGACAAGGAGACUUACGAACUUCGUUACUUCCAAAUUAGUCAAGAUGAAGAUGGUUCAGAGUCUGAGGACUAAUUGGCCUUUGCUUUUAAUAAAAUGGAAAUAUGCUAAAGAAACCUAAAAUCAGACUUGUUGA